UGCAGUCGAGCGGAGUUGAUAGGAAGCUUGCUUCCUUGAUACUUAGCGGCGGACGGGUGAGUAACACGUAGGCAACCUGCCCUCAAGUUUGGGACAACUACCGGAAACGGUAGCUAAUACCGAAUAGUUGUUUUCUUCGCCUGAAGGAAACUGGAAAGACGGAGCAAUCUGUCACUUGGGGAUGGGCCUGCGGCGCAUUAGCUAGUUGGUGGGGUAACGGCUCACCAAGGCGACGAUGCGUAGCCGACCUGAGAGGGUGAUCGGCCACACUGGGACUGAGACACGGCCCAGACUCCUACGGGAGGCAGCAGUAGGGAAUCUUCCGCAAUGGGCGAAAGCCUGACGGAGCAAUGCCGCGUGAGUGAUGAAGGUUUUCGGAUCGUAAAGCUCUGUUGCCAGGGAAGAACGCUUGGGAGAGUAACUGCUCUCAAGGUGACGGUACCUGAGAAGAAAGCCCCGGCUAACUACGUGCCAGCAGCCGCGGUAAUACGUA
rnacentral:rRNA from 1 species